rnacentral:rRNA from 1 species
AGAACGAACGCUGGCGGCAGGCUUAACACAUGCAAGUCGAACGCCCCGCAAGGGGAGUGGCAGACGGGUGAGUAACGCGUGGGAAUCUACCCAAUUCUACGGAACAACAGUUGGAAACGACUGCUAAUACCGUAUACGCCCUACGGGGGAAAGAUUUAUCGGAAUUGGAUGAGCCCGCGUUGGAUUAGCUAGUUGGUGGGGUAAAGGCCUACCAAGGCGACGAUCCAUAGCUGGUCUGAGAGGAUGAUCAGCCACAUUAGGACUGAGACACGGCCCAAACUCCUACGGGAGGCAGCAGUGGGGAAUAUUGGACAAUGGGCGCAAGCCUGAUCCAGCCAUGCCGCGUGAGUGAUGAAGGUCUUAGGAUUGUAAAGCUCUUUCACCGGAGAAGAUAAUGACGGUAUCCGGAGAAGAAGCCCCGGAUAACUUCGUGCCAGCAGCCGC